GGGGGUAAACAGCCGGAAAACCGGCGCUUAAUCCCGCCAUAAGCUUUUAGGAGGUAUGUUUUAGAAAUAAAAGGAGGCGCAAGCUUCCGGUUAUGGAUGGGGCCCGCGUCUGAUUAGCUAGUUGGUAGGGUAGAGGCCUACCCAAGCAACCGAUCAGUAGCCGGCUUGAGAGGGUGGACGCCCACACUGGGACUGAGAACGGCCCAGACUCCUACGGGAGGCAGCAGUGGGGAAUAUUGCGCAAUGGGGGAAACCCUGACGCAGCGACGCCGCGUGAGCGAAGAAGGCCUUCGGGUUGUAAAGCUCUGUUGUAAGGGACGAAUGUCUAGGGUAGUAACUGACCUUAGAAUGACGGUACCUGAGGAGGAAGCCACGGCUAACUACGUGCCAGCAGCCGCGGUAAUACGUAGGUGGCGAGCGUUGUCCGGAUUUACUGGGCGUAAAGGGAGCGUAGGCGGAUUUUUAAGUGAGAUGUGAAAUACUCGGGCUUAACCUGAGUGCUGCAUUUCAAACUGGAAGUCUAGAGUGCAGGAGAGGAGAAGGGAAUUCCUAGUGUAGCGGUGAAAUGCGUAGAGAUUAGGAAGAACACCAGUGGCGAAGGCGCUUCUCUGGACUGUAACUGACGCUGAGGCUCGAAAGCGUGGGGAGCAAACAAGAUCAGAUACCCCGGUAGUCCACGCCGUAAACGAUGAAUACUAGGUGUAGGGGUUGUCAUGACCUCUGUGCCGCCGCUAACGCAUUAAGUAUUCCGCCUGGGGAGUACGGUCGCAAGAUUAAAACUCAAAGGAAUUGACGGGGGCCCGCACAAGCAGCGGAGCAUGUGGUUUAAUUCGAAGCAACGCGAAGAACCUUACCUAGACUUGACAUCUCCUGCAUUACUCUUAAUCGAGGAAGUCCCUUCGGGGACAGGAUGACAGGUGGUGCAUGGUUGUCGUCAGCUCGUGUCGUGAGAUGUUGGGUUAAGUCCCGCAACGAGCGCAACCCUUAUUGUUAGUUGCCAUCAUUAAGUUGGGCACUCUAGCGAGACUGCCCGGGUUAACCGGGAGGAAGGUGGGGAUGACGUCAAAUCAUCAUGCCCCUUAUGUCUAGGGCUACACACGUGCUACAAUGGUCGGUACAAUAAGACGCAAGCCCGCGAGGGGGAGCAAAACUGGAAAACCGAUCUCAGUUCGGAUUGUAGGCUGAAACUCGCCUACAUGAAGCUGGAGUUGCUAGUAAUCGCGAAUCAGCAUGUCGCGGUGAAU
rnacentral:rRNA from 1 species